rnacentral:rRNA from 1 species
AUUGAACGCUGGCGGCAGGCCUAACACAUGCAAGUCGAGCGGAUGAAGGGAGCUUGCUCCUGGAUUCAGCGGCGGACGGGUGAGUAAUGCCUAGGAAUCUGCCUGGUAGUGGGGGAUAACGUCCGGAAACGGGCGCUAAUACCGCAUACGUCCUGAGGGAGGAAGUGGGGGAUCUUCGGACCUCACGCUAUCAGAUGAGCCUAGGUCGGAUUAGCUAGUUGGUGGGGUAAAGGCCUACCAAGGCGACGAUCCGUAACUGGUCUGAGAGGAUGAUCAGUCACACUGGAACUGAGACACGGUCCAGACUCCUACGGGAGGCAGCAGUGGGGAAUCUUGGACAAUGGGCGAAAGCCUGAUCCAGCCAUGCCGCGUGUGUGAAGAAGGUCUUCGGAUUGUAAAGCACUUUAAGUUGGGAGGAAGGGCAGUAAGUUAAUACCUUGCUGUUUUGACGUUACCAACAGAAUAAGCACCGGCUAACUUCGUG